rnacentral:rRNA from 1 species
GAUCAUGGCUCAGGAUGAACGCUGGCGGCGUGCUUAACACAUGCAAGUCGAACGAAGCACUUUUACAGAUUUCUUCGGAAUGAAGUUUUUGUGACUGAGUGGCGGACGGGUGAGUAACGCGUGGGUAACCUGCCUCAUACAGGGGGAUAACAGUUGGAAACGACUGCUAAUACCGCAUAAGCGCACAGGAUUGCAUGAUCCAGUGUGAAAAACUCCGGUGGUAUGAGAUGGACCCGCG